rnacentral:rRNA from 1 species
GUGGUUGUAGACGCGAAACCUUGCGAUCUACCCUUGAGCAGGUUGAAGGUUGGGUAAAACCAACUGGAGGACCGAACGAAUAAGCGUUGAAAAGCUUCUCGAUGACUUGAGGGUAGGGGUGAAAGGCUAAUCAAGCUGGGAAAUAGCUCGUACUCCCCGAAAUGCCUUUUGGGGCAGCGUUGUAAUAAAGAGUCUACUGGAGGUAGAGCUACUGAUUGGAUGCGGGGGCUUCACCGCCUACCAAAUCCUGACAAACUCCGAAUGCCAGUAGUAUGAUUUACAGCAGUGAGUGACUGGGUGCUAAUGUCCAGUCGCAAAAGAGGAACAACUCAGACCAGCAACUAAGGUCCCGAAGAAUAUGCUAAGUUGAUCUAACGAUGUUUUGUUGCAGAGACAGCUAGGAUGUUAGCUUGGAAGCAGCUAUUCAUUCAAAGAGUGCGUAACAGCUCACUAGUCGAGCGACAGAGCGUGGAUAAUAAACGGGCAUCAAGCAUAUCACCGAAGUUCUGGGCGCGAGAGCGCGGUAGGGGAGCAUUCCAUUCAGCGUCGAAGCAGUUUCGUGAGGAAUUGUGGAGCGUAUGGAAAAGCAAAUGUAGGCAUGAGUAACGAUAAUGCGGGAGAGUAACCCGCACACCGCAAGACCAAGGUUUCCUGAUCAACGCUAAUCGGAUCAGGGUUAGUCGGGUCCUAAGGGUAAGCCGAACGGCGAUCUCGAUGGAUAAUCGGUUAAUAUUCCGAUACUAACAUAUACCUCGAUGGAGAGACGAAGGAACGUAAGUGCCGCCACCUGACGGAAUAGGUGGUUAAAGGGCGUAGGUAUAGGGGCAGAUUAAGAGUUAGUCCUUGCUGAAACCUGACAGUACAGAGAGCCUACGGGCAAUUUGAUAGAGCACCCAAGUCGACUUCCGAGAAAAUCUUCUAAGUUAUAGUAUAUGUUACCCGUACCGUAAACCGACACAGGUGGUCGAGGAGAGUAUCCUAAGGUGCUCGAGUGAAUCACGGUUAAGGAACUAGGCAAAUUAACCCCGUAACUUCGGGAAAAGGGGUCCCUAUGAAAGUAGGGCGCAGCGAAGAGGUCCAGGCGACUGUUUAUCAAAAACACAGGGCUCUGCAAAUUCGAAAGAAGACGUAUAGGGCCUGACACCUGCCCGGUGCUGGAAGGUUAAGAGGGGAUGUCAUCGCAAGAGAAGCAUUGAAUCGAAGCCCCAGUAAACGGCGGCCGUAACUAUAACGGUCCUAAGGUAGCGAAAUUCCUUGUCGGGUAAGUUCCGACCUGCACGAAUGGUGUAACGAUCUGGACACUGUCUCAACCGUGAGCUCGGUGAAAUUGUAGUCCCGGUGAUGAUGCCGGGUACCCGCAACGGGACGAAAAGACCCCGUGAACCUUUACUAUAGCUUAACGCUGAAUUUGGGUACACAAUGUGUAGGAUAGGCCGGAGGCUUUGAAGCGGGCACGCCAGUGUUCGUGGAGCCGACGUUGAAAUACGGCCCUUUGUGUAUUUGAGUUCUAACCCUGCGAAGGGGACACCGUUUGGUGGGUAGUUUGACUGGGGUGGUCGCCUCCAAAAGCGUAACGGAGGCUUCCCAAGGUACCCUCAGCACGAAUGGUAACCGUGCGCGGAGUGCAAUAGCAUAAGGGUGCUUGACUGUGAGACAUACAAGUCGACCAGGUACGAAAGUAGGGUAUAGUGAUCCGGUGGUUCUGCGUGGACUGGCCAUCGCUCAAAGGAUAAAAGGUACUCCGGGGAUAACAGGCUGAUCGCCGCCAAGAGCUCAUAUCGACGCGGCGGUUUGGCACCUCGAUGUCGGCUCGUCACAUCCUGGGGCUGGAGAAGGUCCCAAGGGUUCGGCUGUUCGCCGAUUAAAGUGGCACGCGAGCUGGGUUCAGAACGUCGUGAGACAGUUCGGUCUCUAUCUGUUGCGGGCGUAGGAAGAUUGAGGGGUCCUGACUUUAGUACGAGAGGACCGAGUUGGACGAACCUCCGGUGUAUCGGUUAUGCUGCCAAGUGUACUGCCGAGUAGCCGCGUUCGGUCUGGAUAAGCGCUGAAAGCAUCUAAGCGCGAAGCCAUCCCCAAGAUAAGUCUUCCCUUGAGGGGCGUAGGAGACUACUACGUUGAUAGGCUGCAGGUGUAAAGACAGCAAUGUCAAAGCCGAGCAGUACUAAUUACCCGAUAGGCUUUCUU